ensembl:lncRNA
UGAAACAGGAUACCAGAAGAGAACCGAGGGCAAAGAUAUGCCUGUGGUCAAAAUUACACAUGAAAAACAAUACUAGUGGAAAAUAGUCAUCUCAAGAGAGCAUCCCCAAAGCAAACAGCGCCUGACUGAGGAGCAAAAGUCACACUGAGUCAAAAGAUGAAAGGUUUGGUCCUCAUCAGAGUUCAGCGGUGUGAGACUCUUCCUCUGCACUGACACCAUUAGACCUGUAGGGGUCAGUAUGACAACGCUUCAAAUACGAAAACAUCUACAAUACCUUGAUUUCAGGGGGAAAAAAUAAACACUGUGUAAUACCACCCCAACUUUGUAGCACUAACUACAAGCGGGAAGUUAUAGAGUUAGUAAGGCACACUUUCCUAAUGACAGUCUAAGACAGCUAGCAUUUGAGAACUGAUGUCACACCUUGAUGUCAGAUACAUUUACUUAUGGUGGAUUUCAGCAGGGAUGAAAAAUUAUCAAUGCUUCAUCUUCUCUACUCUCUUGCAGCUGACUUUGGGUGCACACAUAUCUAUAUUGGAGGGGUGGACUGUAUUGUUUCCUCUCCCUAAACUUCCACUUGGGACUUCCAUUGAUUCAAUAGAAUGGAAAUACCACACAAUCAACAAAACAAUCUUACUGGCCAAGAUAAAUCUAAAGAAGGAACAGGAAUCAAGAUUUUUCAGCAGGAGGACUGGAAUGCAAAUAAUGGAGAGUGGUACACUUUACAUUGAAGAUGUAAAUGAUGAAGACUCUGGGAACUACUCUUGCACCAUAAUUUUCCAUGAUCGAAGGAUGCGGAUAGAGCAGAUUUAUCUUGAAGUACUUCAUGCUAAAGACUUGACGACACAACCGAACAGCAAAAUGUACAACACAACAUUUAAACCAUCAGAGCCCAGUGUUACUGAAACAGCACUGAUCGCAAUAUCAGUGUGCUCAGCACUCGCAAUUCUCGCAAUUGUAGCCACUAUUUUCAUCUUUAAAUGUACAAAAAAUUGUUGCUGCACAUCAGACGAACCCAUCUACGCCAAUAAGAUGGUCAUAAUUCAAGGAAAUAAAAGGUCACAGGUGGGCAGAAGGACUCCAGAUAAUAAAACCAGAUAAAGACUCUCCAAUUAGCAAAGAGGUAAAAACCCAGGAUGCUCCUGCAGCAAAUAAACGACUUCGUUUUUUCUCA